rnacentral:rRNA from 1 species
CAAUAGCGUAUAUUUAAGUUGUUGCAGUUAAAAAGCUCGUAGUUGGAUUUCGGUUAAGAGCGACCGGUCCGCCGUUUGGUGUGCACUGGUUGGUUUUAACUUCCUGUAGAGGACGUGCUCUGGGUUUAACGACCUGGACUCGGAGUCUACGUGGUUACUUUGAAAAAAUUAGAGUGUUCAAAGCGGGCUUACGCUUGAAUAUUUCAGCAUGGAAUAACACUAUAGGACUCCUGUCCUAUUUCGUUGGUCUCGGGACGGGAGUAAUGAUUAAGAGGAACAGUUGGGGGCAUUCGGAUUUCAUUGUCAGAGGUGAAAUUCUUGGAUUUAUGAAAGACGAACUUCUGCGAAAGCAUUUGCCAAGGAUGUUUUCAUUAA